GCCGGAAUAGCUCAGUUGGUAGAGCGCGUCAUUCGUAAUGAUGAGGUCGUAGGUUCGAUUCCUAUUUCCGGCACCA
rnacentral:tRNA from 33 species